AAUUAAAAGGUGAGAGUGUUCGUAUCAUCUACAUUACCACAAAACAUCAUCUAUAUUAUUCAGGUCUAUCACCACAGAUUUGCUAGACAAAAAAAGGUGCGAUGAUGGAAGUUCCUGUAAGCAUGUGAUCCAAUAACAUCAUGUAAUACAUACCUGCUUGAACAGAGUUGCAAUCUUACCACUGUUGUACAUCAUGAGGAAGCAUUUAUGCCUAUAAUCUCUUGAGGUUGUCACCAGUAAUUUACUUUGUAAUCUAAUCAACACAGCAGUCAGUACAAGCAAGAGUUGUGCCCAUGGAAUAUUAAACUCCAUGCUUGCCUUAUUACCUAUGAUCAAUUGUAUAAACAGUUCUCCAAAUGAUAUAUAAACUUCCCACACAAACACUUAAUGUUAAAUCCCUCCAUAUCUAAUGUCUAUAAAUUCCAGAUUUUUAUUUGUAAAGCCAUCUUCAGAAUGGACUUUUCUGUCGCACAAGAUUGCCCCUUUUCAAUAAAUCAAUAGCCCAAAUUGGACUCAGUACACUCAUCCACACAUGAUUCAUAUCAAAAAACGAUCUAAUUCAGUUCAUAAGUUGUUCGAUUAAACUUAAUUACAAGUUAAACAAACAACUCGCUUUUCAAACUUCAGAACGUCCCACUGAUAUUCUAUAAAUUGCAGACAAAAUAAUUUCAAACACUAUAUUAUUGUGCUGUAUUCAGAUUUCGUUGUUUUCAAGUAUUUUACAAAACAUAGCUCCAAAAAUGUAUGACGCCAUAGAAGAAUCAUGAUUCACAAUGGAAGACAGACCACGAAUCACAGACAUAAAUUGAUUCCAAAGCAAAAGACACAUGCUACUAAAAAUAUAAUGGCAAGUCAACAACAAUUGAUACAACCAUCUGGUAGUGGCAUUAAAGAUCAACACCGAACAUUGUGCCCCUUAACAAUUACCGAGCUAUAUGUUAUAUAACAAAACAUCUGGUUUUCCCUUUGGAAAUUCUUUGAUAAAGUUUGGAUGUAAUAUGGACGCCCACCAUCCAAAUAUACAAUUCAUAAAUGCCAACGGCACUUGAUUCGCAGAAGCAACAAGACAGCAUCUUGGUAAAUAUAUAAUCACCAUAAAAAAAAUUAAGAAAAAACAUUGAGCACAACACAUGCUACAACUUAAAAUGCAGAAAUAGCCAGCAAUACAUAAAACAAAAUAAGAACGCUCAUAUAGUUACAGCAAAGCAUAAAAGACGAACGUAGUAUGUAAGCAGGGUAUAAGUAACAGGAAGCUCACUAGAAGUAGAGCAACCAGUGUCGCAAGACCUGUUCUUCCCUCUCUGCCAUUCUAACGAGAUGCCCAGCCACCGACAUCAAGACUGAGCAUCAGAUACCAAUGGCAUAUAAAACAUCGAACGAUCAUUCCAACUUGAAAAAAACUCGCAGUCUCAGCCGAAAGAUGGUGAUAUUUGGUGAGUUAAUCACAGAAAACUCAGCACUUAAUUGUACCUUCAUCACCGACUGCAAAUCAAAUUCAUCACUUUCUCUAAUUUCGCAUAGAAAAACGUAAUCUUUCUAAAAAAAUUCAAAUACCUAGGAAGUAAAAUGAACGAAACUUCAUCACUAAGUAGGGAGAUCAGAUGGUAGUGCAUGUAUUGUGAUGAUUCAUCAUCUGGAGUGCAGAAAGAAACUAUGGAUUUGGCAUCAUCAAUUCUCCCGUUUAAUAUAAAAUCCCAAAAAACCAAAAGCGAAAAAGAUUAAAAUUUUUAAGGACGGGUAGAGAGAUCUGAGGAAGGAAUCAGAUAAAAAUGUCGAUCACCAUCAUCCGUUUCGGAAAACAAAACGGAUCGUAAGACUGGGGCGACAUAAACCUAUCAUCACGUUCCUACAGAAUUCAAUUCUGCCGCUCAAGAAAACAGAGAAAAGAAAUCGAAGAUAAGACGAACAAUCAGAGAAGAAGAAGAGGAGGAGGAGGAGGGGACGAAAUCUGCGUAGGGUUGAGGCGUUCGGUCAAGGUUGGGAAGCGGCGGGGUUUUAAAGAGGGAGAUUAGGGUUUCAGGACGUUGCGGCGGCUCGUGAAACGGGUCCGUGAGAAACGGCUGUGUAACGCGGUCUUCUCUCCGUUAUCAGCGAUAUAACGGGAUGCCGGUUGAGCGGGUUCGAUUGCGG
rnacentral:lncRNA from 1 species